ACUAAGUCCUCAGAGGUGGUGUAGGUGUGGCUGCUGUGUCACUGUGCAUCAGUAGAUGGUAGAGAAGAAAGAGAGGAUGUCUACACUCAGUGUUCUGACCUAUUAACAUCUGAAUGAUUAGUAGCCUAACAUU